rnacentral:rRNA from 1 species
GACGAACGCUGGCGGCGUGCUUAACACAUGCAAGUCGAGCGGUAAGGCCUUUCGGGGUACACGAGCGGCGAACGGGUGAGUAACACGUGGGUGACCUGCCCUUCACUCUGGGAUAAGCCUGGGAAACUGGGUCUAAUACCGGAUAUUCACUGAUCCUCGCAUGGGGGGUGGGUGGAAAGUUUUUUCGGUGGGGGAGUGGGCCCGCGGCCUAUCAGCUUGUUGGUGGGGUGAUGGCCUACCAAGGCGACGACGGGUAGCCGGCCUGAGAGGGCGACCGGCCACACUGGGACUGAGACACGGCCCAGACUCCUACGGGAGGCAGCAGUGGGGAAUAUUGCGCAAUGGGCGGAAGCCUGGCGCAGCCAUGCCGCGUGAAUGAUGAAGGUCUUAGGAUUGUAAAAUUCUUUC